rnacentral:ncRNA from 1 species
CCACACGGGGAGCCAUCGCGGCUGAGAGGUCCCAUCCACCCGGCGGGACGACCCUUGGAACCUGAUCUGGUUAGAACCGGCGGAGGGAUGUGGAUUU